rnacentral:Y_RNA from 1 species
GGCUGGUCUGAAGUUAUCGAGUUAUCUCACUUGAUUGUUCACAGUCAGUUACAGAUUGAACUCCUUGUUCUACUUUCCCCCCUCCUCACUACUGCACUUGACUAUUAA